AACGCGAAGAACCUUACCUGGGCUCGAAAUGUUAUGGACCGGGGUAGAAAUAUCCCUUCCCAGCAAUGGGCCGUAAUAUAGGUGCUGCAUGGCUGUCGUCAGCUCGUGUCGUGAGAUGUUGGGUUAAGUCCCGCAACGAGCGCAACCCUUAUCCCCAGUUGCCAUCAUUAAGUUGGGCACUCUGGUGAAACCGCCUCGGAUAACGGGGAGGAAGGUGGGGAUGACGUCAAGUCCUCAUGGCCUUUAUGUCCAGGGCUACACACGUGCUACAAUGGCCGGUACAAACCGUCGCAAACCCGCGAGGGGGAGCUAAUCGGAAAAAGCCGGCCUCAGUUCGGAUCGCAGUCUGCAACUCGACUGCGUGAAGCUGGAAUCGCUAGUAAUCGCGGAUCAGAAUGCCGCGGUGAAUACGUUCCCGGGCCUUGUA
rnacentral:rRNA from 1 species